GUUUCUGUAGUUGAAUUACAACGGUGAUUUUUCAUGUCACUGGUCGCGGUUAAAUGCCGUGUAGGAAUG
rnacentral:tRNA from 1 species